rnacentral:misc_RNA from 1 species
AAAGUCGUAACAAGGUUUCCGUAGGUGAACCUGCGGAAGGAUCAUUAUCGAUUCAAAAGGAUGUGCUGGCCACAAGGCAAAUGUGCACUCCGAAACCACAUCCCCCUGUGCACUUAACUGUGGGUAAAGCAGGCUCGUUAAGAGUCUGUUAAGCUCAUGCUUUUUACACUCCCAACAUAUAUAUGAAUGUAUAGUAGGCUUUUAAGCUGAAAAUAAACAAUACAACUUUCAACAAUGGAUCUCUUGGUUCUC